rnacentral:rRNA from 1 species
UCGAUUCCCUUAGUAGCGGCGAGCGAAACGGGAAGAGCCCAAACCAACAAGCUUGCUUGUUGGGGUUGUAGGACACUCUAUACGGAGUUACAAAGGACGACAUUAGACGAAUCAUCUGGAAAGAUGAAUCAAAGAAGGUAAUAAUCCUGUAGUCGAAAAUGUUGUCUCUCUUGAGUGGAUCCUGAGUACGACGGAGCACGUGAAAUUCCGUCGGAAUCUGGGAGGACCAUCUCCUAAGGCUAAAUACUCUCUAGUGACCGAUAGUGAACCAGUACCGUGAGGGAAAGGUGAAAAGCACCCCGGAAGGGGAGUGAAAUAGAACCUGAAACCGUGUGCUUACAAGUAGUCAGAGCCCGUUAAUGGGUGAUGGCGUGCCUUUUGUAGAAUGAACCGGCGAGUUACGAUUUGAUGCAAGGUUAAGCAGUAAAUGUGGAGCCGUAGCGAAAGCGAGUCUGAAUAGGGCGUUUAGUAUUUGGUCGUAGACCCGAAACCAGGUGAUCUACCCUUGGUCAGGUUGAAGUUCAGGUAACACUGAAUGGAGGACCGAACCGACUUACGUUGAAAAGUGAGCGGAUGAACUGAGGGUAGCGGAGAAAUUCCAAUCGAACCUGGAGAUAGCUGGUUCUCUCCGAAAUAGCUUUAGGGCUAGCCUCAAGUGAUGAUUAUUGGAGGUAGAGCACUGUUUGGACGAGGGGCCCCUCUCGGGUUACCGAAUUCAGACAAACUCCGAAUGCCAAUUAAUUUAACUUGGGAGUCAGAACAUGGGUGAUAAGGUCCGUGUUCGAAAGGGAAACAGCCCAGACCACCAGCUAAGGUCCCAAAAUAUAUGUUAAGUGGAAAAGGAUGUGGCGUUGCCCAGACAACUAGGAUGUUGGCUUAGAAGCAGCCAUCAUUUAAAGAGUGCGUAAUAGCUCACUAGUCGAGUGACACUGCGCCGAAAAUGUACCGGGGCUAAACAUAUUACCGAAGCUGUGGAUUGUCCUUUGGACAAUGGUAGGAGAGCGUUCUAAGGGCGUUGAAGCAUGAUCGUAAGGACAUGUGGAGCGCUUAGAAGUGAGAAUGCCGGUGUGAG